GCGGCCUAUCAGCUUGUUGGUGGGGUAACGGCCUACCAAGGCAGCGACGGGUAGCUGGUUUGAGAGAACGAUCAGCCACACUGGGACUGAGACACGGCCCAGACUCCUACGGGAGGCAGCAGUAGGGAAUCUUGCGCAAUGGGCGAAAGCCUGACGCAGCAACGCCGCGUGCGGGAUGACGGCCUUCGUGGUUGUAAACCGCUUUCAGCAGGGACGAAAAUGACGGUACCUGCAGAAGAAGCCCCGGCUAACUACGUGCCAGCAGCCGCGGUAAUACGUAGGGGGCGAGCGUUGUCCGGAAUCAUUGGGCGUAAAGAGCUCGUAGGCGGUUCAGUAAGUCGGGUGUGAAAGCUCCGAGCUCAACUCGGAGAGGCCACCCGAUACUGCUGUGACUAGAAUCCAGUAGGGGAGCGUGGAACUCCUGGUGUAGCGGUGAAAUGCGCAGAUAUCAGGAAGAACACCAGCAGCGAAGGCGGCGCUCUGGGCUGGAAUUGACGCUGAGGAGCGAAAGUGUGGGUAGCAAACAGGAUUAGAUACCCUGGUAGUCCACACCGUAAACGUUGGGCACUAGGUGUGGGGAGGAAUCAACCCUCUCUGUGCCGUAGCUAACGCAUUAAGUGCCCCGCCUGGGGAGUACGG
rnacentral:rRNA from 1 species